rnacentral:rRNA from 1 species
UACGUAGGUGGCAAGCGUUAUCCGGAUUUACUGGGUGUAAAGGGGGCGCAGACGGCAGUGCAAGUCUGGAGUGAAAGCCCGGGGCCCAACCCCGGGACUGCUCUGGAAACUGUACGGCUAGAGUACGGGAGGGGCAGGCGGAAUUCCUAGUGUAGCGGUGAAAUGCGUAGAUAUUAGGAGGAACACCGGCGGCGAAGGCGGCCUGCUGGACCGAAACUGACGUUGAGGCUCGAAAGCGUGGGGAGCAAACAGG